AUUGAACGCUGGCGGCAUGCUUUACACAUGCAAGUCGAACGGUAACAGGCCGCAAGGUGCUGACGAGUGGCGAACGGGUGAGUAAUGCAUCGGAACGUGCCCAGUCGUGGGGGAUAACUACUCGAAAGAGUAGCUAAUACCGCAUACGAUCUAUGGAUGAAAGCGGGGGACCGUAAGGCCUCGCGCGAUUGGAGCGGCCGAUGUCAGAUUAGGUAGUUGGUGGGGUAAAGGCUCACCAAGCCAACGAUCUGUAGCUGGUCUGAGAGGACGACCAGCCACACUGGGACUGAGACACGGCCCAGACUCCUACGGGAGGCAGCAGUGGGGAAUUUUGGACAAUGGGCGCAAGCCUGGUCCAGCAAUGCCACGUGCAGGAAGAAGGCCUUCGGGUUGUAAACUGCUUUUGUACGGAACGAAACGGCUCUGGUUAAUACCCGGGGCUAAUGACGGUACCGUAAGAAUAAGCACCGGCUAACUACGUG
rnacentral:rRNA from 1 species